GCCCCAGUAAAGUUAGCCGCUCUAGUUAUUAUAGAACUCAAUGGUCAUUUCUAGAUAUCAAUUUUCUUAUUCGUCAACGUUCAAUCAAUAAUAAAAAAAUAUUUAUUGUAAAUUUUAUUAUAGCAAAUGAACGUGACGCCAAGAGUUUGUAAAUCAUAUGCAAAUUUUCGUCGUGGUAUAGUGAACUAUCUAUCUCGACCUUAUUUAAACCUGAACAUUUUUACGAAGAUGGUUCGAAGUUCUCUGCAAUCUCUCACCAGUUUAAAGAAGCAAAAGACAAAGUAGGAUCUUUAACACAAGAUCCAGGGAAUGAAUUGAAGUUAAAGAUGUACGCCCUUUUUAAGCAGGGUUCUUUAGGCAAAUGUAAUACACCAAAGCCUGGGACUUUGGACUUUGUUGGAAAGGCAAAAUGGAAUGCAUGGAACGAUUUGGGUGAUUUAUCACAGGUAGAUGCACAAAACAGUAUAUAGCACUUGUGGAAUCUUUACUAGGACAAAAAUCCAAGACCAACAGCCAACCCAACAAAGACAUUAAUACAUCAAAUGAGUUUGAAAAUAUUCUUGUCUCUACUGAUGGCGGUUUGAGGACAAUCACAAUGAACAGGCCUGAUAAAUACAAUGCUUUGACCCCAAAGGUUUGUUGUUAACUACUAGAAAAUCAUGCUCCAACAAUAGACCACCUCUUCUAACCAUAACCAGCCAUUUAUUCAAUGGUUUAUCUCUAACAAUUACCAGUCAUACCCAUUCAAUAGACUACCUCUUCUAACCAUGACCAGCCAUUUAUUCAAAGGUUUAUCAAGAUUUUCUUCGACAUUUCCACCAGCUGCUGGUUCAGUUCAUUAAAAGUUCCGUUUAUUCAAAACCUUUUGAAAUAUGCAACAAAGGACAAAUACUCUGCAACAAGGGGCCGCAUCUCUCAAGAAGCCGCAAGUCUCUCAUCAAUUUUCAUUCAAUUGCUUCAAGAUAGUACAAUCAUUGCGAUUAUUUAAGCCUCAAUAAAUAGAUUUAUGGAGUAAUAAUAUGUACUUUAAAAGAAGAAAUUCUCGUUGUAGUUUUGUCAACGCCACAAACGAAGAAUAAUGUUUACGAAGCUGAAAGCCACAUGUUAAUGUUGAGCAGUAAAAGAAAAUUUAUGGUUUACUGAUUGAGAAAGAAGAUCUGUAAGGCUACUAAUAACUUGAGAUUUCUCUUGCAUAAAAAGGAAUGAACAACUAUAAUUUUAAAGUAAUUAUAUGCUGGCUAGGGGCUUGUUGCAUUGAAGGUUACGAUUCCGUUCUCGUAAAGUGUGUCGUGAAAAGCGACACACGGCUUUGGCUGAAAAACGUGAAAAGUAUAUUUUGAAUGCAAGGUCAAAAUUCGUUCGUUGAAAUUUGAUGAAGAAGCCAUUAUCAAUGAAAUUGAAAGCGAUGUGGCAAUGUCUGUUGUUCUAUGCAACACGAAACUCGACUGUGACAUGGCAAAGGAACGCGGAAUUGUUGCAGAAUUUAUCUUUCAAAAAGUUUCUAUGCAGUGCCUGCGAGACAGAAAGAAGUUGAUGGUCAGCGGUAAUAUACAAGAACUUGAGGAUAAAAAUCACGAGGAAUGCGAUUUGUUUCAUAAGUACAUCAGCAACGAUGAUAUUGUGGAUGGCAUCGUAAGAAGAUGGUGGACGAGCUUACAGGAAUGACUUACCAUCCAGGUAUACCUGCGAUCAGACGUAUGGCGCGUGCUAAUAUUUAUUGUACAAAUAGGAUAUUGUGUCACAAUGAUCCGUUUGUAACCUUUCGCAACGGAAUUUGUAGCGUUGUUGGUGUAAAUCAUUCGUAACUUGAGUUGAAUAACAAAUCAUAUUCGUUCAUUUAA